rnacentral:rRNA from 1 species
AUUGAACGCUGGCGGCAGGCUUAACACAUGCAAGUCGAGCGGAGACGAGGUGCUUGCACCUUAUCUUAGCGGCGGACGGGUGAGUAAUGCUUAGGAAUCUGCCUAUUAGUGGGGGACAACAUUCCGAAAGGAAUGCUAACACCGCAUACGCCCUACGGGGGAAAGCAGGGGAUCUUCGGACCUUGCGCUAAUAGAUGAGCCUAAGUCGGAUUAGCUAGUUGGUGGGGUAAAGGCCUACCAAGGCGACGAUCUGUAGCGGGUCUGAGAGGAUGAUCCGCCACACUGGGACUGAGACACGGCCCAGACUCCGACGGGAGGCAGCAGUGGGGAAUAUUGGACAAUGGGCGGAAGCCUGAUCCAGCCAUGCCGCGUGUGUGAAGAAGGCCUUUUGGUUGUAAAGCACUUUAAGCGAGGAGGAGGCUACCUGGAUUAAUACUCUAGGAUAGUGGACGUUACUCGCAGAAUAAGCACCGGCUAACUCUGUGCCAGCCGCCGCGGUAAAAC